rnacentral:rRNA from 1 species
UACGAAGGGAGCUAGCGUUGUUCGGAAUUACUGGGCGUAAAGGGCGCGUAGGCGGGUUUCCAAGUCGGGGGUGAAAUUCCAGGGCUCAACCCUGGGACGGCCUUCGAUACUGGGAGCCUGGAGAUCGGGAGAGGUGAGUGGAAUUCCGAGUGUAGAGGUGAAAUUCGUAGAUAUUCGGAGGAACACCAGAAGCGAAGGCGGCUCACUGGCCCGAGACUGACGCUGAGGCGCGAAAGCGUGGGGAGCAAACAGA